rnacentral:rRNA from 1 species
GGCUAGACGGAAAGACCCCGUGAACCUUUACUGCAGCUUGACAUUGAACUUUGACCUUACUUGUGUAGGAUAGGUGGGAGGCUAUGAAGAUGUGACGCCAGUUACAUUGGAGCCAUCCUUGAAAUACCACCCUGGUAAUGUUGAGGUUCUAACUCUGCCCCGUAAUCCGGGGCGAGGACCAUGUCUGGUGGGUAGUUUGACUGGGGC